rnacentral:rRNA from 1 species
GACGGUUUCGCCUGUCACUUUCAGAUGGACCCGCGGCGCAUUAGCUAGUUGGUGGGGUAAUGGCUCACCAAGGCGACGAUGCGUAGCCGACCUGAGAGGGUGAUCGGCCACACUGGGACUGAGACACGGCCCAGACUCCUACGGGAGGCAGCAGUAGGGAAUUUUCCGCAAUGGACGAAAGUCUGACGGAGCAACGCCGCGUGAGUGAUGAAGGUUUUCGGAUCGUAAAGCUCUGUUGUUAGGGAAGAACAAGUGCGAGAGUAACUGCUCGCGCCUUGACGGUACCUAACCAGAAAGCCACGGCUAACUACGUGCCAGCAGCCGCGGUAAUACGUAGGUGGCAAGCGUUGUCCGGAAUUAUUGGGCGUAAAGGGCUCGCAGGCGGUUUCUUAAGUCUGAUGUGAAAGCCCCCGGCUCAACCGGGGAGGGUCAUUGGAAACUGGGAAACUUGAGUGCAGAAGAGGAGAGUGGAAUUCCACGUGUAGCGGUGAAAUGCGUAGAGAUGUGGAGGAACACCAGUGGCGAAGGCGACUCUCUGGUCUGUAACUGACGCUGAGGAGCGAAAGCGUGGGGAGCGAACAGGAUUAGAUACCCUGGUAGUCCACGCCGUAAACGAUGAGUGCUAAGUGUUAGGGGGUUUCCGCCCCUUAGUGCU